UNCCGGGUGACCUUGCCGGAGGUUACUGCUAUCGAGGUUCGACUAAGCCAUGCGAGUCGAAUGCCGCAAGGCAUGGCGUACUGCUCAGUAACACGUGGACAACCUACCCUUAGGACUGGGAUAACCCCGGGAAACUGGGAAUAAUCCCCGAUAGUCCUCGAAGGCUGGAAUGCAUCGAGGGCGAAAGCUCCGGCGCCUAAGGAUGGGUCUGCGGCCUAUCAGGUAGUAGUGGGUGUAGCGUACCUACUAGCCUACGACGGGUACGGGUUGUGAGAGCAAGAGCCCGGAGAUGGAUUCUGAGACACGAAUCCAGGCCCUACGGGGUGCAGCAGGCGCGAAAACUUUACAAUGCUGGCAACAGCGAUAAGGGAACCUCGAGUGCCAGGUUACAAAUCUGGCUGUCGAGAUGCCUAAAAAGCAUUUCAUAGCAAGGGCCGGGCAAGACCGGUGCCAGCCGCCGCGGUAACACCGGCGGCUCGAGUGGUAACCGUUAUUAUUGGGUCUAAAGGGUCUGUAGCCGGCCGGAUAAGUCUCUUGGGAAAUCUGGCAGCUCAACUGUCAAGCUAUCAGGAGAUACUGUCUGGCUCGAGGCCGGGAGAGGUGAGAGGUACUUCAGGGGUAGGGGUGAAAUCUUGUAAUC
rnacentral:rRNA from 1 species